rnacentral:miRNA from 1 species
AAGCUUCGUGGUCUCUGUCUUGCC